CGUCUCGUUCGGUGGCGCUACUUGGCUCCGGGAUAAUGGUGGGGUGACAGGCAUGCUGGAGGGUGUACGUUUAGGUCGGACGAACGAGCGCGUAAUGCAACCAAAACACGCUGGGUAUAAGACCCAAGGUACCCAAGUUCUUUGCACGCGUUGGAAAGAAUUCGCCUUACCGGCCCACUGGCUGCAUCCGCCGAGCAAGAAAAUGGCUGGACAGUGUACGCCCAGUUCUGCGGUGCCCGGCGAGGCGUGCUGGUAGCCAACGUGCCAUGGGCAUGUGGCCGAGGCAGAGGACCAGAGGUCCUUCAGGCAAUACCGUAGCAUUACAUGUUGUGCCGCAGGAAGACAGCGAGAGUGCCUGAGGGUCGAACAGUCGUCGCAGAUGCGUGCCUUUCGGAGCAACUGAUACAUCAAAGAGAGCGAAUACGUAUGAGCAAGCUCCCCCACUAUUCGUCGGAAGUGCUAGCGAACUGUUUUUGCUGGGUGUUCUUGAUGAUCCACCGACGCCGCCGCCGCCUGCUUGUUCUCACUGGCGGCCGGAUUGAACGGCCGCUUCGGCGCUCCCAUGAAGGCUGCGUUGCUGGACCACGUUGUCAGCGGUCGCCGCCUCAACCUUACAAUUUCCUCGCUGACCUGCAACGCGGAGCCGGUGAAACACGACUAUUCCUGGUCUUUACACCAAAACGUCAGCAGGGAAAUAUCACGGCUCCUCACGUUGCUUUUGAGCUGUGCAUUUCGGAGUGCUUGCAGCAGUACUGAAAGGCAGUGAGACAAAAGUAAAUUAUCAUGCUGCUUCAAUGCAAGAAUUCCAAAGAGGAAGUGGAUUUUAUCCUCGAUCUACCCCAGUAGGCACUGAGAGACUGCUCUCAGAAAGGAGGUAUUAUGUCUAAUGUCCCCAGUGGAUCGUAAUUGAACGUAAUGGCAAUUUAGUAAACAUAUUUUAAUUUAGGCUAAACAUAAGGACGGGCUAACGCAGCGGUAUCUCGCUUCCGAUAUAGAUGUACUCUGAAGGAUGCGCUCUCAAUAAAGAAAUAUAUGCAAAUAAUGUAGUGUGGUAACAAUAGAAAAGGCUAGCGCUUACGUGCAAUCAAGUUCUUGGUCAACACAUGCGAUUAGCCGUCCGUAGCCAUUGACGUGUAUCCCCAGGCAAGUCUGCCUGGUAAGUCUGCCCCGAAGGGUAGGCUAACAGGGCUACAACACAUGACAUUAGCUUGCUAAUUAUUAGCUAUUUAACAUGCGAACAUGGUGAAACCAAACCCGUAACAGCUGUAGAAGAUUCGAUAGUUCAGCAUUACUUGACUUACUCUUGCCAGCACUGCAUGGCGCCUUUAGCCAUGCGACAAAGGAGAAACAAGGAAUGGCGGGGAGGCUGAUGGAUGACCGCCUAUAUUUAAUGUCGACUGGGCCCGGGGUGAGAAUGAUGAACUCCCCACUCUACUGCUGUCCUGCAUCGUUUUCUACAUAAUAAAUAAACAAAAUCAGCUGUAUGACUGAAAGUCGGCUUUGAUCCACCCUGCCAAGUACAGUGCCAUAGAAGUUUUGUUGUUCUAGAGAACCAUAACUGUUCAUUCCAACGUCAGGAUCAUAGUCAUAAUCAUAGUCGUAGUCAGGAUCAUGAGAUAAGGCAAGCACAACCCUGGAAACAACUGUAAACCUACCAGCUGCUUUUACGGAGAAGAGGCACUAUUCCUAAAUACGGUGUAGUAUACAAAACAAGAGUGUAUACACUCUUGUAUACAAAACAAGAGCAUAGAACACUUUACA